rnacentral:rRNA from 1 species
GACGAACGCUGGCGGCGUGCUUAACACAUGCAAGUCGAACGGAAAGGCCCUGCUUUUGUGGGGUGCUCGAGUGGCGAACGGGUGAGUAACACGUGAGUAACCUGCCCUUGACUUUGGGAUAACUUCAGGAAACUGGGGCUAAUACCGGAUAGGAGCUCCUGCUGCAUGGUGGGGGUUGGAAAGUUUCGGCGGUUGGGGAUGGACUCGCGGCUUAUCAGCUUGUUGGUGGGGUAGUGGCUUACCAAGGCUUUGACGGGUAGCCGGCCUGAGAGGGUGACCGGCCACAUUGGGACUGAGAUACGGCCCAGACUCCUACGGGAGGCAGCAGUGGGGAAUAUUACACAAUGGGCGGAAGCCUGAUGCAGCAACGCCGCAGGCGGGAUAACGGCCUUCGGGUUGUAAACCGCUUUCGCCUGUGACGAAGCGUGAGUGACGGUAAUGGGUAAAGAAGCACCGGCUAACUACGUG